CUCAGUAACACGUGGAUAACCUGCCCUUAGGACUGGCAUAACCCCGGGAAACUGGGGAUAAUUCCGGAUAGUUCAUGGUAGCUGGAAUGCUCCAUGAUCGAAAGCUAUUGCGCCUAAGGAUGGGUCUGCGGUCUAUCAGGUAGUAGUGGGUGUAAUGUACCUACUAGCCGACGACGGAUACGGGUUGUGGGAGCAAGAGCCCGGAGAUGGAUUCUGAGACAUGAAUCCAGGCCCUACGGGGCGCAGCAGGCGCGAAAACUUUACAAUGCGGGAAACCGCGAUAAGGGGACACCGAGUGCCAGCAUCUUAUGUUGGCUGUCCGCAUGUAUAAAUCACAUGUGUUAGCAAGGGCCGGGCAAGACCGGUGCCAGCCGCCGCGGUAACACCGGCGGCCCGAGUGGUGGCCACUAUUAUUGGGUCUAAAGGGUCCGUAGCCGGUUUGGUCAGUCUUCCGGGAAAUCUGACGGCUUAACCGUUAGGCUUUCGGGGGAUACUA
rnacentral:rRNA from 1 species